CGGAUGUAGCCAAGUGGAUUAACG
rnacentral:tRNA from 1 species